GACGCUUCUCGCCUUUGGCUAAAGAUCAAAUGUAGUAUCUUGUUCUUUCAGUUUAAUAUCGAUAAUUGGCCCCUAUCUGGGGACCAUAUAUUAAAUUGAUUUUGGAACAGGGAGAUGGAAUAGGGGGUUGCUCUCCACUAAAGGACGAACUGGUAUGCAGUACUUUCCCGGACGUACUUCUCCUU